AGAUUUAGUGCAAAAUAAGAAACAGAAAACAGUAGUCCACUGAUGACAUCAUUUUAACUUUUGGGCCCGCCUUUGCCUAAAUUCUGACAAUCUUCUAACAGUACAAUAAGAUGAGAAUAAGACAGGUGAGAUCUCUUCUGGCUCAUCAACAUCGUAUCUGUAUUUCACCCCAUAGAAAGGAGGAAAAAAGGAGUUUGGAAUUACUGGCUUUGCAUUUAGAGAUCACUUGGAAGUUGCACACAGAUAAGUUCCGCUCACAUGCUUAGCCCAAACUUAGUCAUGUGGCUUUACCUCUUUAGAACAAAAGUGGCAUUCAUGUACCCUUAAAACUUGGUGGAAGAGAUUAUUAUUUAAAAGGAAACAGAGAAUAAGGAGAUAUCUUAACACUGGAUUUUAAAUACAAGACUCAUAAAUUCUGAUCUGCAUCCUAAAAACUUAAUUCUAACAGCUUUGUGGAUAACAGAGUUCAGUGGAGCAAAAGUAGAAAUUUGAAAACCAGUUAGAAGGCUAUUUGCAGUUGCUUAGGUGGUUGAUCAUGGCGGUUACAUGGGUGUUGGCAUGAUACACAUUGAAUCUUAACCAGUAACAUGUUAAGAUGUUACUGGAAAAUGUCACUUGGAAAAUGAAAUCAUUGUAAAAAUUAAUAAAAUAUAGACUAUUACAGCUGCCUUUACAUAAUCAUUAUUUCCUCUACCUGGAGGCUGAUGGUAUUAUUAUAUAUACAAUGACUUUAUAAGUAAAUAUAAUAAUUUACUGUUGGUUUUAUUUUGGCCACCAAGCUAAUGAUUCUGAUUGGCUUUGUAACAUGAUAUUAGCUGAAAAAUGAGUUAGCAAGUUUUUGGCAUAAUGUGAGUGACAGAUGAUAGUGACUGGACUAAGACUGUAGUAGUGUAAAUCGAGAAAAGAAGGAAAAUUUGGGAUUUACAGUAUUAAGAGAUACAGUCAACAGAACUGGCAGAUGGAAUGUGGGAGGUAAGAACAAGAGAAAUUAAAAAUGGCUCAUAAGUUUUAGCCUUUAUCAAUUUGGUGAGUAUUUCUGCCAUUUACUGAGACAUAGAAAAUGGAGAAGAAAUGGGUUUCCAGGGGUGAGGUGAAAUCAAGAUUUACAUUUUGGUCAUCCUAGGUUUAAGAUAUCAAAUAAAAAACAAAAUGAAUGUUCAAUAGUUGAUUAAAUAUAGAAGCCUGGAGUUUAGGUGUCAGGUAAAGGGAAAGAUAAUCUAUAAACCGGGAGUUCAUACUACACGGAUGCCCCUCAGAAUUUUGAAGGAUUAGGUGAGGCAAAUAAACCUAGGAGAAAGUGAAAAGUUCCAGGGGAUGUGUCCUGUGGCAAUAAGAAUAAUAACAAAGUCUCAGAGUGAGUAGGUUUGACUUACUUGCUGAGCUGAUGGCUCUAACUUUGGUAGCAUUCACAGAUGGAGAGGUACUCUUCUCCACAAAAUACUUAAAUUUUUAUGGUCACUCUACAUAGUUAAGUGGAUAAUGGCAGCAGUGGAUAGGGAUAUACUAGAAUUCUUUUUAGAGCCACCUAAAAGAAUAUGCAGUUGAUAAGCCUUCAGCGUCUACCCUUUGCUUACUCUACAUUCUUUUGCACUAUGAUGUCUGAUGUCUUUCUUCUUAACUCCUAGACCUGUUCACUGAGACCUGGUAAACAUUCAAGUUCAUCACAGAGGGAAAGUAAGAAUUGGAUGGCCUCUCUCUCAUUUUGUAACACCUUGGACUAAAAGUGGAUCUAUUUUUAACAACUUCAGUAAAGUAUGAUGGAUGUGAAGCAGAAGCCCAGAUGGCUGUGGAAAGCAUCUCCUGGUCCACUUCUCUCUCUGUUUACUUCACACUGCCAACUGAUGCACUUGAAAACCUUUCAAAUCUCGUUCACAACCUACCUUCAUCCCAAAGUCAUUGUUGAUGGUUUCAAUAGUUUUAUUUUUUCUGGUUCAUAAUUCUGUCAUUCUACAAACAUGCACUGCCAUUCUGAGUUUUUGUAUUCUUCUGAACUUGUAUAGGUUUCUCUCAAGAAGAAAUAGGGCAGAGUUCCAGACUAUUAUGGCUACUGAUACUUCCAUGUAUCCUUUUCUGGAAAUCCUGUGGAAUUAGGGAUUUAUCCUCUAAAAUAUACCUAUUUAUUUUUUUCUCCCAGAAGAUACACUUUUGAAGUCUGUGGUAUCCCUGUGUAGUAAGCAUUUACUCAUCAGUUUUCACUCCCACUUCAGUAAAGCCUUUUCUGUAACCUGGGUUCUUUGAUAAAUGUAUUUUAUCUUCAUUUUUAUCUGAAAGAGCCAAGUUCAUGAUCAAAGUUGGGAAGUCAGAUACCCUGGUAUCUUGAAGAAGAAAACAGUUCUGGAUUUUAUUUGCAGUGCAUUUUUCUGUGAUGAGUGCAUAUCUUUUUUCUUAGCAGGGCUAAGAAUGUGGGAUAUAUAUUUUUUGAGCUACUGAAAACAUCACUUACUGAAUGAACUAAAAAAGAUAAAAGUUAAACUCUUACUGCAAAUACAAUGGAUAAUCCUAGCAAACAUUGCUAAUAAAAUUAAAGUCUUAAACAGCAGUCUCCUUAUUUUUCUCCUUAAGUUUGAUGUGGCAUGAGAUAAGAGUCACAUAGCAGUGAGUCCAAAUUAACAACUGGAAACUUUCAAACUGCAUGCUCAAAGUGGCUGAUUACAAGACAAUUGAUUUUUAAAACAUGGUGAGAUAGUCAGUUAUCUAUUAUCUCUCAUAUUAAGACUGAUCUUUGCACUGACUCAUUUUAGACCCUCUCUGUCUCUGGAAAAUACCAUCUGUAUAAAACUACAAGGUCCAAGACAGUGAUGAUCUGCUAGACAUAUGCACAACAGAUGGCUGAAAAAAUUAUCUGCCCAUUUAAUUGGUACAUUACUCAUUUCCACCACCUUGUUGCCCAUGAAAAUAUAGGGCUGCGCAAAGCCAGUGUUUAGGUCAUUUCUUAUGUUGAUUCAGAGAGGUCACUUGGCAUAACUGUCUGGAGAGGGGUAGAGGGGCCAGCAUCCCUAGACAAUGAUUGCUUUUAGGGGGUGAGAAAAAAGUAAGAUAGUGUCAUUCAGGUAAGGUCCAAGUUACAUUUUCAGUCCCCCCUUGGUAGUUGCUUGGGAGUUCUUAGGGAAUGGACUUCUGUGAAAGCGCUGCAAAAUUGAGUCCACAAGGACAGCCUGGUUUUAGAAAGUCUUGUUGUAGACAGAUAUUGAGAGUGCAAAUAAAGCUGACAAAUAGCAAAGUCAAACGCUGGAGAUGAACAGGCCUCCUGAUAACCUUGAAUGUUGCUGCCUCCAUCAUUUCCACACUGAAAUCAAAGGCCAAAUUUGCUGUUUGAAUUGUUCUCAUCCUUCACUGGGGUAAAUCACCAAUGUUUGGAAUCAGAUAUUUCUUAAUUUCCUCUUAUACCCUUGAUCCAGAAAAGAAAAAAAAUCAAACCAAUACUAGAGAAAUUGAGUAUUCAGUGCUUAAGUUGACUGAGUCUUGGAAUAAGUCAUAUUCAAUUAAUGUGUUUUUGCCCAGAGUUAGGCCUAAUAAUAUUACAAUGAAAGCCAGGUGAGUUGAAAAGGUCACACUGAGAACCUGUGGUCUCUACCACAGUAUUUUCCUGUUUCUGUUUAGUUGAAUUUUAAGUGGGUUUAUAAUAAAUGGGUAAAACCACUGUACUGUUUCUGCUGCUUGGUUUUAAUUAGUGGCUGGGAAUAACACAGUCCUGGUUUAACCCUUUAGCAGUGAAAGGUUUAUUUUGAGGCCUGAUUAGAAGUGAAAGAAUAUGCUGUAUUAGAUUUUAUUUUGAGUAACAUUUCUAUCAUUUCCUCAAAUGUACUAUACAUUAGCUUUGUGCCAGGUACUGUAAUGGGGAUAGAGCAUUGUUGUCUUUGUGACCCUUACAUUGUAUAAGAUCACAUUAUUGUUUAGACUUAAAUAAGAAAUAUUUGAGAAAAGAACUCUUCUGGAAAAAUCCUGACACUAAUAGUAAAAGAAAUGUGGAGGAAUAUUAGAUUUAGUGUACUCAAUAAUUCUAUCCAAGACUGCAAAUGACCACUUUUCUGGCCAACCUUAUUUUCCACUCUCAUUGAAAAUAUUGGUUAUAAUUCUUAAUUUUAAGGAUAUUAUCCAGUGUAGGAAAUACCAAAAACCAUUUUAAACAUCAAAACAUAUCUUUUUAUAUAAUUUCUGUAAAAAUGGCCUAAUAGCCAAACAAUACUCGUGACGUUAUAGCUCAGUGGCAGAGCCCAAAGACAGUGAGGCUUCUGAGUGAAGCUUUGCAAGGAGCACACACACAUUUAAAUAAGAAAGGUCUUCUAACAUUUUGGCCUAGAAGCUAUCUAAUGUGCUUGUUUCACCCCUUCCCUCUUCACUCUUUUUUUUUAAUCCAGAAGAUGCCAGUAUGGAAUAAAUAAUAUGGUGAAGUGGCUUUGCUAUUUACGGUUUCCUAAGGCAAUGACUAUUUUACAAAGAUUAGUUCCACUGGAAGUCCUAGGUUUCCUGUUUUUAUUAUCCACACUUCACAUGGUGGUUUAGACUAAAUUGUCCAUUGCAGAGUUUGGAAAGCAGUCUGUUUAAUGCAGUAAAAUUGUACUGCUACUUCCAUACCCAUCUCUCACAGCCCACGUUCUGGGGCUGAUCAGAUACACAUUUGCUAACACAAAACAAAUAAAGGCCUCAUUUCUCACCUGCUGUUGAAGUUAGCUCCUCUUUAACGUUUACUUACUUCAGUCGUGUUUAUUUGGCUUACGAAGUGGAUACCAGGAAACAGGUAACCUGGAUGGAGAGAUGUGGAAUGUAAUUUUUCUUUGGGAGUGAUUGGAAGGUAAUUUUUCUUUCAUCCAGAGGAGCUGCUUUGCAGCUGGGAAUCUCCCGCCCCUGACCAGCGUGUUGAGGGCUCAGUAAUGAGCUCAGCUUGCCUAGUAAACCCCUAAUAGGGAAAGCAAACAUCUUUAGAUGCAAAUAUCACCUGAAGUGCACCAGAUUAAAUCCUUGGUGAACUCCUAUAAAUAGAAUUUCACUUCUAGAGAAUUGUUGGCAUACUCAGCAGAAUACAAAGUUAUCUAUUCCAUGUGCAUGGUAAUUUAGCUAGUCAGCAGCAGGAGACAUAAUAAUAGGUACACAGAGAUUUGUAGUAACAGGUAAUGAGGUAGACUCAGUAGGUAAUCCCAGCACAGAAUAACUUGGCAGAGAAGGGAAGGUCAGAUUCAGACUUCGUUACAAUGAGGCAAUGGUUUCCGGUGGGGAGUGAACGGCAAGUGGCGGCUUCAGUGCUGUCCACUCUGAGCACUGUGCAGACCAGCUUAAUGUCAGCACUGCAGCCUGUGGCCACUCUCUAUCUUGCCAGCAGAUGACAACUGUCCCAGCCUCACAACUCCUUGAAACAAGUACUGUUGCUGUUUUUCUUCUGUUUUUGUAACUUUAGCAAUAGGUCAGUAACUUGUUCUGUCCAUAAAUGGGGGUGAAUUUGGAAAACAAAACCGAAAGCAGCUCAGUGGCUGUCAAUAUAGAUCUUCAUGUACCCAGGCAUUCAGGGACCCCAAAGAUAGCAUUUGCAUGUUGUGCUGACUGCAAACUUGGGCAGUUAUAAUCUUGGAGGCAUUGUAAGAUUGCCUCCUAUAAAAUGAGGAUCUCAUUUUGUAAGAUACAGUAAAGGAUUGCCUUUACAGUACACAGGAUUGUUAAAUCCAGGAAGAUUCAUGCCCUGUUAAUCCUGUCCCCUACUACCAUGACUUCAAAUAUUUUUGAAUUUCUACAAAGCCUUUCUGCAGUUUUCAUCACCUUGUUUUCCCUAAUUCCUUUUUCUGGAG